AUGAUAUUCUUACAUACAGGAGAAUAUGAUGUCCUCCUUCAUCUUAGAUGCUACGGUGAUACGAGCUUCGAGGUCAUUGGAUAUGGGAUCCAAGGGCAUCUGAGUAGUUUUUGUACAAAUUAUGUGCAAUUCUCAAACUCAUCAAGGUUUCCUAUAAAAAUAUUAAGACAUCAUGUGAGCUGCUAUAUCUCAGAUCUACAAGCUCCAAGAAACUCGUAUCGGCAUAUAGCAUCUAAGUAUGGGGGCACAUGCUAUUCUCUUGGGGAGAGGGGUGGUGGGUGCACAACCAAUCGGUGGUUGGGAGGGUGGGGACAAAUAUAA
rnacentral:rRNA from 1 species